CGAGUCGGUCGGACGGUCGCGUCGCUGGUAGCAGCGCCGAGGAACGUCCGGGCUCCUCAGGGCAAGGUGGUGGCCAACAGCCACCCGGGGUGACCCGCGGGACAGUGCCACAGAGAGCAGACCGCCUCUCCCGGGAAACCGGGAGCGGUAAGGGUGAAAGGGUGGUGUAAGAGACCACCAGCGGGCCGGGUGACCGGUCCGGCUAGGUAAACCCCACCUGGAGCAAGGUCAGACAGGGAGCGUUCGAGGGCUGCCCGCCCGAGCUCCCGGGUAGACCGCUCGAGACGUGCGGCAACGCACGUCCUAGAUGGAUGACCGUCACCCGCGCGUGGGCAACCGCGCGCGGGGACAGAACCCGGCGUACAGACCGACUCGUCCG
rnacentral:RNase_P_RNA from 1 species